GGAUUUGUUUUUACAUUCGAAAUAUUGAAUAAAUUUAUUGUUCACCACCAUACACAGAUUUAGCACUAACAUGUAAGCAUUCCUUACGGUUGGCUUGAAAAAAAUUGAAAUAAAAACAAACAUUGGGUGGAAAUAACUGGAAACACCUAGAGAAUGGACUCUUCAUAGUUUGGUUCAUAACCACUCCAUCAAGGUCCUCGAUGGGUAGCCAAGGUUGCAAGAUUCCCUGGUCAAACUGAGACACGAUUAUUAGGUAACAUGUGAUCGAACAACUGGAAGGAAACUUUUAAACAUGAAUUAUAUAUCAAUGGUGUCUCAUAGGGAAAACAAUACGCAAUGUCCGAUAAUUGCUCAACAAUCUAAUGUGAUCCUUUUUCCUUAUUCAAUGCACAAUUGCAUGAACACUUACUAGCAAGGGAAAAAGUUAGUACCCAGGAAAAAGUCGUAUAACUCCAGUCCUGCAGCAAACCUGAUGCAAUGCACAACUGCAUGAACACUUACUACAAGGGGAAAAAGGACAGUAGAAAACUCCUAUAUUGUAAUCUUGUACCAUAUACUAAUGCGUAUCAGUCAGAAUUUCAAAAAAACAAUUCUUAAUAUACGAUGAAUAUUUUUGUAAUACACGAUGAACAUUUUUAUAAUGCAAGGUGAUUUUUUUUCAUAAUAUACAGUGAACUUUUUCUUGGUAUAUGACGAACAUUUUUGUAAUAUGAAAUGAACUUUUUAUAGACUACUCAGAAAAAGAAGAAAAAUAAACAAAAAAAAUUCACAAAGGAAAAAAAGGAACCAAAACAGAAAAAAAUGGAACAAAAACACUGAGAACCGGACAAAACAGUGGGAAAUACCGGAAGCAAAAAACCACAGAAGAAAAACGAAAAAAAAACCGCAGGAAACAACAACGAACGAAAAAAAUCACGUGGAUCCAUACGUGGCCUUGCCAACUGGAGGCUGGCUUCAGAGAAGCCAUGACUAUUUUCGUGUUUUUAGUAAUUGAAUUCCAUGAGUUUUGGUCGAAUAUAGACUUGAAUUUGUGCACAAAAAAACCCUUAAAUGUUCGCCCCUGCCGACAAAGUUUAAUUUCUGGAUCCGCCGCUGCAGAUGAGAACAACCGCCACAACCACUUUACGUGCCUUGUGAUGUUUAUCACCACUAAAACAUGUCGAGUUAGGCCGUCGCGCACCGGCUCAGAAGACCUGUGUCUUGGUCGGAGUCAAGGCAUAUAUUCGCUGCACACGAGAAACGCGUGUGCAGGUGCGUGUGGCUGGUUUACAUGUGCUUUUAAACCCCUGAACCUUUCAUCGAACUCUCAUCUCACACUCACAGCUCGAGCUCACACACGGACACCACCACCCGGCCUGGCAAACACACCAAGCACAAGGUACGUCUGCUCUCCGGACGGACAGCUGCUAGCUACCUGCAGAGGGGUGCGCUACUCUUUAUUAUCUCCUUCAACAAUCACGUCUUGCCGCUUGUGUGCAUCCUUGUUUUACACGAUCAUUUUCCAUAUGCAGGUGAGGUCGAUCAUGGCGAACUCUGCGGCGCGUGGGCCGCCGGCCGGUCGCCUGGUCCUCUUCGUUUGCCCUGCUCCUGCUGCUGCUUCUCCUUAGUCCCAGGCAAGCCCAGGGCCGCGCCACGCCCCGAGGCACUUCGCUGAGGGCUCAAGCCGCGGCGCUUCUCCACUGGAGAUCAUCCGUCAAGUACUCCGUCAAGCACCAGCUGGGAACCUGGAGAGAGGACGGCAUGUAUCCGUGCAACUGGACCGGCGUCACCUGCGGCGACACUCGGUCACGCCGAGGAACCAUGGUGAAGGUCAUCAGUGGAAUCUCGCUCGGCGGUGCCGGCAUUGCAGGGCGGCUGGACGCCCUGAGUUUCCAGUCACUCCCUUACCUCGUCAACCUCGACCUCAGCGACAACUACCAUCUCUCCGGUGCCAUCCCUCCAGGCAUCGGCUCUCUUUCCAUGCUUUCCACCCUCAACUUCUCUGGUGAUCAGCUCGUCGGGCACAUACCUGCAUCAAUCUGCAAUCUUGGGAGGCUUGUAGAAAUGGACCUCUCCAGCAACAAUCUCACUGGCCAAAUUCCUCCUGCCUUGGGCAAUCUUUCAGUAAUUGCUGUUCUCUAUCUAAAUGGGAAUAGGCUAUCAGGCAAUAUCCCAUGGCACUUCGGACAGUUUCAGAACAUGAGGGAGAUGGAUUUGAGCUGGAAUAUCCUUUCUGGCCAAAUACCUUCCGCCCUUGGGAACUUGACAAAUCUCAACGCUCUUAGCCUUUCUGAUAAUCGUCUCUCGGGACCCAUACCUGAAGAGUUAGGACAAAUCCAAAGCCUGCAAAUACUAUACAUGCAAAAAAACAACCUGGAUGGCAUAAUUCCGCCCUCCCUUGGAAACCUCACAUUGCUCAUAUACCUGACGACAUAUCGGAACCAACACACUGGUCCAAUCCCGGUAGAGCUUGGGACGCUCUCGAGCUUGAUUUUGUUGGACUUGUCAAACAACCAUUUAUCCGGUUCAAUUCCUUCUAGUGUUGCUGGAAAUCUUACUUCAUUGACCUAUUUCGCUAUUUCGCGUAACCAAAUAACUGGAUCCAUCCCUCACGAGUUCGGAAAUCUCAUGAAUCUGGAAACCCUCGACCUCUCGGUCAAUUUCAUAGUUGGAUCAAUUCCGUCAAGUAUUGGGAACAUGUCAACACUUAGCCGAAUUGACCUACAUAGCAAUAACCUCUCCAGGGAACUGCCGUUCGAGUUAGGAAAUUUGGCAAAUUUGGAAUCUUUUUCAUCCCCCAUAAACCAAUUGUCUGGCUCAAUCCCUCAAAGUAUCGGAAAACUGACGAGAAUGAAAGAAAUGAGACUAUUCACCAACCACCUCACUGGUCAUUUGCCUUCAUCACUAUCCAACCUUACCAAUUUGGUCGACUUUGAACUCGGUGACAACCAGCUAAUCGGACAGUUGCCAGAGUUAUGCCAAAGUAAAACGCUACAAUUUUUCUCAAUUUCUAAAAACAAUAUUGAUGGUCCUAUCCCAAAAGGCUUGAGGGAUUGCAGUUCACUAACAAGCCUCGGAAUAAAAAAUAAUCAGAUCGAGGGAGACAUAAGUGAAGCAUUUGGGGUAUAUCCACACCUCAAUAUCAUUAGUUUAUUUUCAAACAGGUUUGUAGGCCGGCUUUCGCCAAAAUGGGGCUCGUGUCAAAACUUGACAAGUAUUGAUUUUUCAAACAACAUGAUAGAAGGUAGUAUACCUUCUGAGAUGGGGAAGCUAAAAAAUCUUGCAAUUCUAAAUCUGGGUUUCAAUAGGUUGACCGGUGAGAUACCACCAGAAAUUGGCAAGCUAACUAGCAUGUAUUGGAUGGAUUUAAGAAACAAUCAACUAUCUGGCCAGAUCCCCAAGAAAAUCGGCCAACUUGGCAAUCUGGAGCUUCUUGAUUUCUCAAACAACCUGUUGAGUGGUAAAAUACCAGAAGAGAUUGGGAACUGUUUGAAACUGCAGGCGUUACAGAUGAAUAAGAACAACCUUAGUGGAACUCUUCCUGGUAGUUUGGGUCAUUUAGCUUCCCUGCAAGGAAUGCUUGAUCUUAGUAUGAAUAGUCUCAGUGGACCAAUACCAUCGGAACUAAGCAAACUGGAGAUGCUGAUCUUUGUAAACUUCUCGCACAAUCAAUUCAGUGGUGUCAUCCCUGUCUCCAUUGCAAGCAUGAAAAGCCUAUCAAUAUUUGAUGUAUCAUACAACUUCCUAGAAGGCUCUAUCCCACAAGGGAUCCAAAAUGCAUCAAGUGACUGGUUUCUCCACAACAAAGGUCUUUGUGGAGAUCUUAUUGGCCUAUCUCCUUGUGAUUUGCCUACCGCGGAUCAUAGACGAAAGCAUCAGAAAUUUAUACUAUCAAUCGGUCUUCCUAUGUUUAUCGCUACUAUCUCAAUAGCAGCGAGUGUAAUUGCCCUCCUGAUUUGCCGCAAGAAAGGAUCUAAAAAAACCGACUUUAUGAGCAAAAAGGAUGUAUUCUCUGUAUGGAGCUUUGAUGGUAGAAUGGCAUUUGAAGAUAUUAUUGGUGCAACUGACAAUUUUGAUGAGAAGCAUUGCAUUGGAGAGGGAUCGUAUGGCCGUGUUUAUAAAGCACAACUUCAAGAUGAACAAGUGGUUGCAGUAAAGAAACUCCAUGCAGGUGAUGAAGAGGCACAUGAUGAAGAAAGAUUCCAGCAUGAGAUUGAAAUGUUAACAAAAGUUCGUCAACGCAGCAUCGUCAAGUUGUAUGGCUAUUGUUCUCAUCCACGGUACAGGUUCUUUGUAUGCCAAUUCAUAGAGAGAGGAAAUCUAGCUUCUAUCUUAAGCAAUGAAGAACUAGCAUCCCAGUUCCACUGGGAAAGGAGGAUAGCUCUAAUAAGAGAUGUGGCUCAAGCCAUCACUUACCUCCAUCAUGAUGUUCACCCACCCAUAAUUCAUAGGGACAUCACAAGCAGAAACAUCUUAUUAGAUGUUGACUACAAAGCAUUUGUCUCGGAUUUUGGUAUUGCAAGAAUGUUAAAACCCGAUUCAUCGAAUUGGAGCGCACUAGCGGGGACCUAUGGCUACAUUGCACCUGAAUGUUCAUACACUUCUCUAGUCACGGAGAAAUGUGAUGUAUAUAGCUUUGGUAUUGUGGUGCUUGAGGUGUUGAUGGGCAAACACCCUGGAGAUUUGCAGGCUUUUCAUUCUUCACUCGAGGACCAGUUUCUACUGGAAGAAAUUUUGGACAAACGACUUCCACAACCCGAAGCUGGGGAGGAAGAAGUGAGACGGUGCAUCUCUGUGGCAUUUGAGUGCCUAACUCCUUCACCCAAAGAAAGGCCAACUAUGCUGAAAGUUUAUCGAGAUGUUUCCAUCUGAAGUUAUUACUAGUUAAAUGCUUGCAGAUGUAUCAUUUUAUUCUUGUUCGGUUCAGAACAAACGUGGAUUACUUUAGCUGUCCAAGCAUCUAUCACAAACCAAAUAAAUAGUGUUAUAUCUGUUGGGCAUCGUAAUAGAAUAUAUGGGUGAAUGGGUCACAAUAUUACACUGUAUAAUUGUUCUUCCGGUGAUCAUACAGAUUUAUGAUGAUAUUUUGUAAGGAGGCUUGAAGUGAUGAUAGUUAUCUCAUUUAUGUUCUCUCUGAACUUCUGUUAGCCCCUGACCUUCCUUUAUCUUUAGCACCGCCAACUAUGUGGGUUCUUUAAAAUUGAGUCGGAAAUUCUAAGAUGCACUCGGUAUGUAUGAAUAUCAGCACGGAGUGAACCAAUUAAUUUUAAAGAGUACUACUACCAUCCUGCUGUGCCUCAAUAUGGACUGCAAAUGAGUGGAUAGCAUGGUGGACAAGGAUGAGGUCAGUGGAGAAGUCACUUAAUCCUCCUUGAAUAAACUGGAAUCUCGUACCUCUCGGCCCCCUCCACUCCGACCUUCGCCUCGCCGUCGCCGGCGCUCUCCUCCGGGUGAAGCCCGGCCGGACGGAGCCGGUGGCAGCGGGACCUGCUCGUCUCGCCUUUGGGGCGGCCUGCUUGCGGACGCGGAACCACGACGGGUAGGUGCUGAACCGCGCGUCGUCCGGCGGCACGUGCGGUACGGCUGGCGGCGACGGUUGCCCAAGCGUGGGCACAGGAUGCCAGAUCGGGGGGCGCUGCUUCGGCUUAGCGGCGACGCGGGGCGAGAUGGUGGCGGCAGGCCCGAUGUGGGUACGGGUGAGCCAUGGCGGAGCUUGCAGCCGCUGCGAGGCUUUGGCGUUUGUGGUGUCUGCUAAUCCGGCUGUGAUGCCCGUGGCCAUGUGGACGGCACGGCGGUCUUAUCUGAUAGUCGGGCACAAGGUUUUUAAUUUCGGAG
rnacentral:rRNA from 1 species